CCUUAUUUUGUUUCAAAAUAACCACCUGAACUCUCUCUCUCUCUCUCUCAAUCUAACCUCCUCAUCCGAAAUUGCUCCGCCGCGCCGGAGGCAGCUGAACUGAUAAAAAAUGGCCACCAAUACCCUCAUAUGAUACCAUUCACUCUCCUCUCCCCAAAUCUUGCGUCAAUCUCUUCCAAAACUCAAAUAAGCCCCUUAAGAGAGACUAAGCGCAGCUGUAACAAGCUUCAAUGUGAAACUUGCUCAACAAUGAAGGAGCUUCGAGCUUUUGGGCUGGUAUGAACCUGGUAGAAAGGAACUAGGCUUGCAUGGCAUUGAAGGUUGGCAUGUUGUGAAGAAAUUGGAAUAUCUCAAGAACAUGGAAUAUUUGAAGACUUUGAAGACACAAAUGGAGGAUCAAUGAGGAUGAAGAUCAAAGAGUAGGAUUAGGUAGUUUGACUUUGGUCAACAGUUGACCAAAAAGUCAACAGUUGAUCAAGAGUCACCCUAGGUCAAGUGUAAUUUUUUUGUAUGGAAUUUUGUAGUUUGACUUUUUGUAAUGAAAUGGAUGUUUGUAAAUGAAGGUUUUUGAUUGUAAUGUAACUUAUUGAUCUUGAACUUUUGAAUUUCCAA